UACGAACUGUGCGAACGUUAUUCGGAAUCACUGGGCUUACAGGGUGCGUAGGCGGCCUGUCAAGUCGCGUGUGAAAGCCCCCGGCUCAACUGGGGAGGGUCACGCGAUACUGAUCGACUCGAAGGCAGGAGAGGGAAGUGGAAUUCCCGGUGUAGUGGUGAAAUGCGUAGAUAUCGGGAGGAACACCAGUGGCGAAGGCGACUUCCUGGCCUGUUCUUGACGCUGAGGCGCGAAAGCUAGGGGAGCAAACGGG
rnacentral:rRNA from 1 species